CCAGAACCGACGGAGGCUACACUCAGAUGGAGGCCGGAGCUGGUAAGAGCAGUCAGCUGGAAGUAUUGGUGGGCCGGCAGCGGGUGGAGCCUCCUCCUGUCAGGACAAGAAUGAUACCUGCUGCUUAAUAGAAAUGGAACCAUCUGCAGCUUAAUGAUGUAGACCUGUCCCAGGAAAUGGACUGAGUGUAAAGACAAGUGCCAACACCCAAGAAAAUGAGAUGCAAUGGAUUACAAUUGAAACUGUAACAAUGAGGACAAAAAGCAUUUUCAGAUCUCCAAGUUAAUUGUACAGCAGCUUCCUACACACAUAUGAUCAACCAUAUAAUGAUCCCAUCAAA